rfam:Triticum urartu cultivar G1812 contig394919, whole genome shotgun sequence.
AAGAUACUCCCUCCGUCCGGAAAUACUUGUCAUCAAAAUGGAUAAAAGGGGAUGUAUCUAGAUGUAUUGUAGUUCGAUGCAUCUCUUUUUAUCCAUUUUGAUGAUAAGUAUUUUUUGACGGAGGGAGUAAUAG